rnacentral:rRNA from 1 species
AAGGGCUCGCAGGCGGUUUCUUAAGUCUGAUGUGAAAGCCCCCGGCUCAACCGGGGAGGGUCAUUGGAAACUGGGGAACUUGAGUGCAGAAGAGGAGAAUGGAAUUCCACGUGUAGCGGUGAAAUGCGUAGAGAUGUGGAGGAACACCAGUGGCGAAGGCGACUCUCUGGUCUGUAACUGACGCUGAGGAGCGAAAGCGUGGGGAGCGAACAGGAUUAGAUACCCUGGUAGUCCACGCCGUAAACGAUGAGUGCUAAGUGUUAGGGGGUUUCCGCCCCUUAGUGCUGCAGCUAACGCAUUAAGCACUCCGCCUGGGGAGUACGGUCGCAAGACUGAAACUCAAAGGAAUUGACGGGGGCCCGCACAAGCGGUGGAGCAUGUGGUUUAAUUCGAAGCAACGCGAAGAACCUUACCAGGUCUUGACAUCCUCUGACAAUCCUAGAGAUAGGACGUCCCCUUCGGGGGCAGAGUGACAGGUGGUGCAUGGUUGUCGUCAGCUCGUGUCGUGAGAUGUUGGGUUAAGUCCCGCAACGAGCGCAACCCUUGAUCUUAGUUGCCAGCAUUCAGUUGGGCACUCUAAGGUGACUGCCGGUGACAAACCGGAGGAAGGUGGGGAUGACGUCAAAUCAUCAUGCCCCUUAUGACCUGGGCUACACACGUGCUACAAUGGACAGAACAAAGGGCAGCGAAACCGCGAGGUUAAGCCAAUCCCACAAAUCUGUUCUCAGUUCGGAUCGCAGUCUGCAACUCGACUGCGUGAAGCUGGAAUCGCUAGUAAUCGCGGAUCA